rnacentral:tRNA from 1 species
GGGGAUUUCGCUCAGUGGCAGAGCACUUGCCUAGUAGGCAUGAGGCCCUGGGUUCAAUGCUCAGCCCUG